AGUGAGACAGGGUCGAAAUCAGAUCUCUGGCCACUAAAACGACGGCCUAGGGCAAAAUAGGGAGUCAUUUGAAGAUCAGAGAUUAGAAUUUGAGAGCUAGCUUGAAGUUCUUUUCAAAGACAUAAGAAUUGUUUUGAGAAGAUUUUGGAGGACUUAGAAAUUGUUGUUCAAAGUCAGGGUUUGUAUCAGUGAUUUGGGUUUUAUAUAAUAUAAUUAGGGCUAGCAAUUCUAGCUAGUUCGUGUAAUUGGUGUAACAUCUAUAGUUAAAAACUUAAUAUUAUUUGGAUUAUUAGGUUUUCUAAGUGUAUAAAAAAUUUUGUGAUAAUCUAAUAGCGUGGUUUAGAGAUAUCUAGUUUUUAGUACAAGAGGGUUUUAGAAGGUGGCAGUUUGAGGUUGGGUAGGAUUUCUAUGAUAUCUAAAGAUCUAUCAAUUGGAUUAAAAUGAAAAUUGGCAUGGUAUUGAAGGACUUGAAGAUAAAGCUACAUACCAAUUUUGAGUCAAAGUUAAUAUAUGGAAAGGGAGAAAUCGUUGCUGGGAGUUUUGCUUCACUUUUCAAGUUGGUGGCCGAGUAACAACAAUGCAAUUUUUGGA
rnacentral:lncRNA from 1 species